rnacentral:rRNA from 1 species
GAUGAACGCUAGCGGCGGGCCUAAUACAUGCAAGUCGAACGGGAUUGUCGGUAGCAAUAUUGACAUGAGAGUGGCGCACGGGUGCGUAACACGUAUGUAACCUACCUUUAACUGGGGAAUAGCUUCGAGAAAUCGAAAUUAAUACCCCAUAACAUUUAGAAAAGGACAUCUUUUCUUUAUCAAAGUUCAGGCGGUUAGAGAUGGACAUGCGGUGCAUUA